UAUGUGUGUCUUGUUUUUUGCCUCGCCUCCUGUACAGCAAAACACUGACAUUCAGAAACAGAGACAGUUUUAACUCAUUUAUAAUUCUGAUCAGAUUAAUAGGAGAAUUAUGCCCUAGAGCUUGCAAUCUUUCUCUGUACCUACUUUGGAAAUAUACUGAUCCAUAAUACAGGGUUUUUACACUCCAUUAAUUCAUUAUCAAUAGACAUUUAUAAUAUAUUUUAUUUUGUUCUGGCCAUCAAUUGGGAGUGAAAUAAAAC